rnacentral:rRNA from 1 species
GCUAGAGUGCAGGAGAGGAAGGUAGAAUUCCCGGUGUAGCGGUGAAAUGCGUAGAGAUCGGGAGGAAUACCAGUGGCGAAGGCGGCCUUCUGGACUGACACUGACACUGAGGUGCGAAAGCGUGGGUAGCAAACAGGAUUAGAUACCCUGGUAGUCCACGCCGUAAACGAUGUCGACCAGCCGUUGGGUGCCUAGCGCACUUUGUGGCGAAGUUAACGCGAUAAGUCGACCGCCUGGGGAGUACGGCCGCAAGGUUAAAACUCAAAUGAAUUGACGGGGGCCCGCACAAGCGGUGGAGCAUGUGGUUUAAUUCGAUGCAACGCGAAGAACCUUACCUACCCUUGACAUCCUGCGAACUUGUGAGAGAUCACUUGGUGCCUUCGGGAGCGCAGAGACAGGUGCUGCAUGGCUGUCGUCAGCUCGUGUUGUGAAAUGUUGGGUUAAGUCCCGUAACGAGCGCAACCCUUGUCCCUAUUUGCCAGCGAUUCGGUCGGGAACUCUAGGGAGACUGCCGGUGACAAACCGGAGGAAGGUGGGGACGACGUCAAGUCAUCAUGGCCCUUACGGGUAGGGCUACACACGUGCUACAAUGGCCGGUACAAAGGGCUGCGAGCUCGCGAGAGUCAGCGAAUCCCUUAAAGCCGGUCUCAGUCCGGAUCGGAGUCUGCAACUCGACUCCGUGAAGUCGGAAUCGCUAGUAAUCGUGCAUCAGAAUGGCACGGUGAAUACGUUCCCGGGCCUUGUACACACCGCCCGUCACACCAUGGGAGUGGACUGCACCAGAAGUGGUUAGCCUAACUUGGAG